GUUCUGUCGAAAUGAAAACCAAUGGGCUUCUUCGCGUAGUGGCCCAAAUUGGUACACUGAAAACCUACGAUACGAUGAAAGCUUCAAUCAAGCGACAAUGUCUUUUCCACUUCUUCUUCUCUAUUUCAUCUUCAUGAAAUCUCCUUUAUCCCGACUCAUCUCUUAACAAUCAAUUGUAUUCAUUACUCUCCACUUUAUUAGUUCGUUUCGCAUCCCUUUGUUUCUACAUCUUUAUUAAGCCCUCUGGCUAUACUUUUAUCCACCCAGAAACGCUAACCUCCAUUGAAGAAGCUGAAGCUAACAAAACAGAACAAGCACGCCAAGGAGCUUGAGGAAUCUCUGGGAAUUUUGAACAGAACAGAGAAGAGGUGGCAAAAUCUCGAAAAUACACACUAUGUAUUGAAUCCUUACUGGUAAACUUUUUUAAUUUUUUUUUUUUUUUAAACCCUUGAUGGUUUGAAGAUGGAUUACAUCACAGUUUUUCCAAAGCUUAAAACAGACAGAUGCAUGAUAAAAGAGACGCAAAGGAACAUAAUUUCCAGAUGCUCCAACAGCAGGAGCGUGCUAAAUUUGUUGAUAUAAGCAAGAGGGCUUAGGAGUUCUCUAGCUUCAUAGAGUUUCAAGCGAAAGAGAUGAAAACGUUUAUGGAGGAGAGGGAGAAGAAGAUGGCAGAGAUGAACAAGAGAUAUUUCGAGGAGAUGCUUGAUCUAGAGAGGGAAUUUGAUGUCUUUGGAGCUGUUCAUGAUAAAAACGGCUUAACGAUGCAGAUGACGCAGACUACUGUAGCUUUCAUGUUGUGCUUUUGUUUGACGUCUAAGGAAGUAUUUUGUGGCUAACAGCAAGAUUGAAUGUUGUGGCAUAUAACCAAAACAGCAAAUUUGAUGUAGAAAACUGGUGAAUCGAAGGAAAAAUAUAACCGGCAACCGCCAGUGCUGAAACCUCUGCUAAAAGAGCAGUUCUUUGUUCACUGAUCCGGUUUGAAGCGUCACACUGACCCAUCUUUGUUGAAAACGCUUACUGUCCAAAACAAGCAUCUGAAAUGCACAUUUUGGGGAUAUUAUGUGUUACGUGUGAUCAAGUAUUUUUAUCUACAGAAGAAUGUAUCACAAACGAGUAAUGGAGAGAGACUUGGGGAUUCACAAACAUGCUUAGUUAACACUCAUGAUGUUGCAUCAGCUGAUAUAAAGAAGCAUGUUGAGAACAGACUCAAAAACCUGAUAUUAUAAGGGUGUAUGUGUUAUCAAAUAGGUUAAGUUUCAUUACAAAACAUUCGAUCUAUUUCGGUUGGUGUUGUUCCUUGCUUGCUUGAAAUAAAAUACAUGAAUCCAUUGAAGUGAAAGUUUCGAAUGGCAGAACAAAUUGAGGAAAUGAACGUUACCUAACAUUUUCUAGGAUCAUUUUUUGGAAGCCUAUGAUGUGUCAGCCUUGAUUAAAGUAAAUACCAUAGAAGAAGACCAGGUCGUGUAUAUCUAUUGAAUUCUCAAUUCUCUACCUAGUCAGUAUGAAUAUCUUCGAGAUACACUCAAGCGUGGAAGUGGAAGGGAGACAUUGACCAUGAAUGGGUUCAAUUGAACCGAAGCGGCAAAGCUACUUACUCUGCGGCAUUCAAACGAACACCUUGCGCGGACGUAGAUUGAAUCUCUUCUCUCUCCUGUUAACGCUACGCUCCAGUAACAAAGGCAAGGCGGCGACUUGUUCUGACUUACCGCCGGGAGAAAGCGAACAAUGGGUUGCGAUAAAAAUUCUGUCUUUGGGUAUAACAAAAGAAUCCUCAUAAGCAUUGACCAAGAUCAGUAAUCAAGAUUUGAUACACCCAGAUGAUCGAAAUUGUAUGGUGUUAAGAGUUUCCAGCUACUUGAGAACAGUGUGUGAAAGUGUGGUUUUAGUUAGUUAUUCUCCUUCCACUCAGAAUGCAUGAGUGUGUGUGUUUCUCAUGCUAGUUAAGUUUUACACAUUUGGUCCUUAAUUCUUUACCUUUGUCUUUCCAUUCUUAGAAUUCAAUUAUGUGCUGAGUGUUUCAUUUUGCAAUAUGUUAUUCAAAAUUUGGUUAAGAAAUUCAAUAAAUAGAACAUGGU